AGCAGCCGCGGUAAUUCCAGCUCCAAUAGCGUAUAUUAAAGUUGCUGCAGUUAAAAAGCUCGUAGUUGAAUUUCGGGACUAAUAUGUCGGUCGUGCCUCGGUACGUACUGGUUUAUUGGUUUCUCCUUUCUGAAGAACCAUGAUGUCAUUUAUUUGGUGUCGUGGGGAAUCAGGACUGUUACUUUGAAAAAAUUAGAGUGUUUAAAGCAGGCUCACGCUUGAAUACAUUAGCAUGGAAUAAUGAAAUAGGACGUUUGAUUCUAUUUUGUUGGUUUCUAGGAUCGACGUAAUGAUUAAUAGGGAUAGUUGGGGGCAUUAGUAUUCAAUUGUCAGAGGUGAAAUUCUUGGAUUUAUUGAAGACUAACUACUGCGAAAGCAUUUGCCAAGGAUGUUUUCAUUAAUCAAGAACGAAAGUUAGGGGAUCGAAGACGAUCAGAUACCGUCGUAGUCUUAACCAUAAACUAUGCCGACUAGGGAUCGGAUGAUGUUA
rnacentral:misc_RNA from 1 species